GACGAACGCUGGCGGCGUGCUUAACACAUGCAAGUCGAGCGAGGCCCCUCCUUCGGGAGGGUGUCCUAGCGGCGAACGGGUGAGUAACACGUGGGCAACCUGCCCUCAGCUCUGGGAUAACUCCGGGAAACCGGGGCUAAUACCGGAUACGACCUCCACGGGCAUCUGCGGAGGUGGAAAGUUUUUCGGCUGAGGACGGGCCCGCGGCCUAUCAGCUAGUUGGUGGGGUAGUGGCCCACCAAGGCGACGACGGGUAGCCGGCCUGAGAGGGCGACCGGCCACACUGGGACUGAGACACGGCCCAGACUCCUACGGGAGGCAGCAGUGGGGAAUAUUGCGCAAUGGGCGAAAGCCUGACGCAGCGACGCCGCGUGAGGGACGAAGGCCUUCGGGUUGUAAACCUCUUUCAGCAGGGACGAAGCGAAAGUGACGGUACCUGCAGAAGAAGCACCGGCCAACUACGUG
rnacentral:rRNA from 1 species